rnacentral:rRNA from 1 species
GACGUAGGAGGCGAGCGUUGUCCGGAUUCAUUGGGCGUAAAGAGCGCGCAGGCGGCUUGGUAAGAUCGGAUGUGAAAACCCGAGGCUCAACCUCGGGCGUGCAUCCGAAACUGCUCGGCUAGAGGUAGGUAGGGGAGAUCGGAAUUCCUGGUGUAGCGGUGAAAUGCGCAGAUAUCAGGAGGAACACCGAUGGCGAAGGCAGGUCGUCUGGGCCAUAACUGACGCUGAGAAGCGAAAGCAUGGGGAGCGAACAGG